rnacentral:rRNA from 1 species
UACGUAGGGUGCGAGCGUUAAUCGGAAUUACUGGGCGUAAAGCGUGCGCAGGCGGUUUUGUAAGCCAGAUGUGAAAGCCCCGGGCUUAACCUGGGAAUGGCAUUUGGGACUGCAAGGCUUGAGUGCGGCAGAGGAGACUGGAAUUCCUGGUGUAGCAGUGAAAUGCGUAGAUAUCAGGAGGAAUACCGAUGGCGAAGGCAGGUCUCUGGACAGUUCCUGACGCUGAGGCACGAAGGUCAGGGGAGCAAACGGG